AAACGUGGGGCUAAUACCGGAUAGGAACUCCUGCUGCAUGGUGGGGGUUGGAAAGUUUCGGCGGUUGGGGAUGGACUCGCGGCUUAUCAGCUUGUUGGUGGGGUAGUGGCUUACCAAGGCUUUGACGGGUAGCCGGCCUGAGAGGGUGACCGGCCACAUUGGGACUGAGAUACGGCCCAG
rnacentral:rRNA from 1 species